GCUUUGGAAAGAAAACAACAAGAAGGCGAUGAAUUCAAGACUCAAAGAGAGACAUGCUCAGGAGUCGCACGGAAACCAAGUGUCCAUCCAUGAAGGGCCGAGGAUGUAAGAGAACUCAUCACAGAGCAGGGCCAAUCCACACAACAAGCGUAUUAGUUUCCCUCCUAAGCCCAUAGAUUCAACGGCCCUUUGAAGGCAACCAUAAAGCAGAUGUGAACCUCCAUGAAAAUGAGUUGGACACUCCUGCCCUAAAAGCCAGAGAGGGAAAUCUUUGGACCCUGAGGAGAAGAGCAAUGGGGAGGAUAAGAGGUAUAGACAAUAAGUCACAUGAGUCAAAGUUGGAGAAGACUGGAGCCACUCUUCAAAAAUCUCAAGAUUUAUCUUAUGGAGGAAGGAGAUGUCUUGUUCUCUGCAUAAGAUGAAAUCUAAUGUUUUAAGUUACCGGAGGAUAGUUUCAAUGGAACACCAGGAGACAGAGAAAGAGCUUUCACGAUGGAACCAAGUCUUCUUCUUUAGAUGUUCUUCAAAAAGAGGGAUGUUCUACACUGAACCUAGGGGCUCUCUCGCAAUUCUAGGACGCUAACUCAAUGCGUCAAAAAGAACUAGUUCCAGUGCUAUCAUUCCGAACACCAUUCAUUCCACCAGCCUUUUCCCAUAACAGCGGAAAAUCUCAGCCAGUUCUCCCAGUACAAAAACACAGAAAGGGAAGAAAAGCAUGGUUAAUGGGGAGAAAUGUGAACAUGCAGGUUAAGAUUGCCUGUGAUGAUGAUGAUGAUGAUGAUGCAUGUCUUGGAAGGAGCGCAAAGAGGACACAAGUGCGUGUUAGUAGUGGGAGGUGUUUAGAGCAUCCACCACACUUUUUGCCAAAAUACCUGGACCCAAACUGGACACCAGAAAAAUCCUCCUCUUCCUCCUCCUCCUCCUCCUCCUCGUCCUCCUUUUCUUCAUCAGAACUGUCCCCAGAGACAUCGGAAACGGCAAGGAGGAGGGAGAAAGGGUUCUCGUACAGACUAUUGCAACAAAAGCAAAGACGGACUGGUGAUUGUGAGAGAGAUGAAGGGGAAAAGGAAGCUGGGGAAGAGCAAGGUUCUCAUCUUGCCAACUGAAUGCUCACUGCAAGCACACGGCACACCAAGAAGACCCGAAAGAAGAACGCCAUUAACACAGAAAUCAGUUUCAAAGCAGGGAACUUCUCCGGUAGAGACUAGGAGGCAGAGGAGACCUUUUAUGGCACAGAAGCUAUACUGUUCAAAUCAUUUUUAAAGAUAAAUAAGCUAUUCUGACAGUGACCUCAAACCCAACUAUUUUUAGUCUGAAGGAAGUCAACUCUUCUUCUCCAGCCCUAAAGAUUUUUUAACAAGUUUUGUUAUUCCUUCUUCAAUGGUUCAUCAUCAUCUUGGGUUCAUCCUGAGUCAUCAUCAGCCCCAAAGAACACUUUUUAAAGAAGAAGUGAGCAAAUGAAGCUCACCGCUGUCCUCAGAAUAUCUCCCCCAUUUGCUACUACUACCCUGUUUCCCCGAUAAUAAGACAGGGUCUUAUAUUAAUCUUU